UUUUUGAUAAUAAUUUAAAGUAGGGCCUGCCCACUGAAUUUUUAAAGGGCCGCAGUAUUUUGACUGUGCAAAGGUAGCAUAAUCAUUAGUUUUUUAAUUGAAAGCUUGUAUGAAUGGUUUGAUGAAAAAAUAACUUUCUAUAUUUAAAUUUUAAAAAAUUUUAUUAUUAAGUUAAAAAGCUUAAAUUUUUUUAAUAGACGAGAAGACCCUAUAGAGUUUUAUUUGAUUAAUCAUUUAAAUUUUUAGAAUUAAAAAAUUUUUAUUUUUAAUUAAAUUUGGUUGGGGUGACUGAAAAAUUAAAAAAACUUUUUUUUAUUAGUUACAUUAAUUUAUGAAUUAUUGAUCCAUAUUAAUGAUUAUAAGAAUAAAUUACCUUAGGGAUAACAGCGUUAUUUUUUUUUAGAGUUCAAAUCGAAAAAAGAGAUUGCGACCUCGAUGUUGGAUUAAAGUUAAUUUUAGGUGUAGAAGCUUAAAAAUUUGGUCUGUUCGACCAUUAAAACUUUACA
rnacentral:rRNA from 1 species